rnacentral:rRNA from 1 species
GCUUAACACAUGCAAGUCGAGCGAGAAUCGUUUAUUGAAGGCUUCGGCUGGAAAUAGAUGAGGAAAGCGGCGAACGGGUGAGUAACGCGUGGGCAACCUGGCCUUAAGAAAAGGAUAGCCCCCGGAAACGGGGAGUAAUACUUUAUGAGAAUGAAAGAGGGCAUCCUACUUUCAUUCAAAGCGCAAGCGCUUAAGGAUGGGCCCGCGUAUCAUUAGCUAGUUGGUGAGAUAACAGCCCACCAAGGCAACGAUGAUUAGCCGGUCUGAGAGGGCGAACGGCCACAUUGGAACUGAGAGACGGUCCAAACUCCUACGGGAGGCAGCAGUGGGGAAUAUUGCGCAAUGGAGAAGAACUCUGACGCAGCAAUACCGCGUGAGCGAAGAAGGUCUUCGGAUCGUAAAGCUCUGUUAUCAGGGAAGAAGAAAAUGACGGUACCUGAUGAGCAAGUCCCGGCUAACUACGUGCCAGCAGCCGCGGUAA